rnacentral:rRNA from 1 species
AUUGAACGCUGGCGGCAGGCUUAACACAUGCAAGUCGAGCGGAGAUGAGGUGCUUGCACCUUAUCUUAGCGGCGGACGGGUGAGUAAUGCUUAGGAAUCUGCCUAUUAGUGGGGGACAACAUUCCGAAAGGAAUGCUAAUACCGCAUACGGCCUACGGGAGAAAGCAGUGGAUCUUCGGACCUUGCGCUAAUAGAUGAGCCUAAGUCGGAUUAGCUAGUUGGUGGGGUAAAGGCCUACCAAGGCGACGAUCUGUAGCGGGUCUGAGAGGAUGAUCCACCACACUGGGACUGAGAAACGGCCCAGACUCCUACGGGAGGCAGCAGUGGGGAAUAUUGGACAAUGGGGGGAACCCUGAUCCAGCCAUGCCGAGUGUGUGAAGAAGGCCUUAUGGUUGUAAAGCACUUUAAGCGAGGAGGAGGCUACAGAGACUAAUACUCUUGGAUAGUGGACGUUACUCGCAGAAUAAGCCCCGGCUAACUCUGUGCCAGCCGCCGCGGUAAAAC